GGCUGACUGACGGCAGCGCUGUGAUGGCAUCGGUGUCAUGGUGAGCAAGGGCUGCCUCGGCACUGCUACCGGAGAAGUACACCGGCGGGCUUUGAUGUCAAGUGGGGCGGUCGGCGAGCAGCGCAUGGCUUCGGCGCAACACAAAAUGGCUGAGGAUUGGAAGAUGCAGUGCAAUGGUCGAUAUUAGAGCUCCCGUCCCCACCAAAGGCCUCAGGCACCCAAUGUCAUUGGCUCCUAUCGGUGACUCCAGCAGCAGCGCCUUUGUACUGGGCAUCAGCUCCCUGGAAAGUCCUUCCGGCACUGCUUCCCUGCGGACUAGUGAUUGUCAGAAGAUAAGAUACGGCAUGAGCUACCGUGCAAGACAUAGACAUUAUUGUAUUGGUCAGGUGUGGUCUUUCCCAGGGUAGAUAAGCUAUGGGAGUAAUCAGCACC